CAGUAGCCGCGGUAAUACGGAGGGAGCUAGCGUUGUUCGGAAUCACUGGGCGUAAAGCGCACGUAGGCGGCUAUUCAAGUCAGGGGUGAAAGCCCGGGGCUCAACCCCGGAACUGCCUUUGAAACUAGAUAGCUUGAAUCUUGGAGAGGCGAGUGGAAUUCCGAGUGUAGAGGUGAAAUUCGUAGAUAUUCGGAAGAACACCAGUGGCGAAGGCGACUCGCUGGACAAGUAUUGACGCUGAGGUGCGAAAGCGUGGGGAGCAAACAGGAUUAGAUACCCCUGUAGUCCCUGUCUCUUAUAC
rnacentral:rRNA from 1 species